rnacentral:rRNA from 1 species
UGGGGAAUAUUGCACAAUGGGCGAAAGCCUGAUGCAGCGACGCCGCGUGAGGGAUGACGGCCUUCGGGUUGUAAACCUCUUUCAGCAGGGACGAAGCGCAAGUGACGGUACCUGCAGAAGAAGCACCGGCUAACUCCGUGCCAGCAGCCGCGGUAAUACGUAGGGUGCAAGCGUUGUCCGGAAUUACUGGGCGUAAAUAGUUCGUAGGCGGUUUGUCGCGUCGUUUGUGAAAACCAGCAGCUCAACUGCUGGCUUGCAGGCGAUACGGGCAGACUUGAGUACUGCAGGGGAGACUGGAAUUCCUGGUGUAGAGGUGAAAUGCGCAGAUAUCAGGAGGAAAACCGGUGGGGAAGGCGAGUCUCUGGGCAGUAACUGACGCUGAGGAACGAAAGCGUGGGUAGCGAACAGG